rnacentral:rRNA from 1 species
AUGAAAGUUGUUGCAGUUAAAAAGCUCGUAGUUGGAUUUCGGAUUGAUCAGGAUGUGGUCCGCAGAAAUUGCGUGUACCGCGCUUGGUUAUCCUUCCUUGGGGACAAAAGUAGGUAGUUCGGGGUGUCAUCAAGCAAUUGGUGGCAUCAAGGGCUAUCCACUCCCCAUCGUUUACAUUGAGAAAAUUAGAGUGUUCAAAGCAGGCGUAACCCAGCCUUGAAUACUGUAGCAUGGAAUGAUGAAACAAGACGAGAGUCUUAUUUUGUUGGUUUCUAGGGCUUUUGUAAUGAUUAAAAGGGACAGUUGGGGGCAUUUGUAUUCAAUUGUCAGAGGUGAAAUUCUAGGAUUAAUUGAAGACAAACUACUGCGAAAGCAUUUGCCAAGGAUGUUUUCAUUAAUCAAGAACGAAAGUAGGGGGAUCGAAGAUGAUCAGAUACCGUCGUAGUCUCAACUAUAAACUAUGCCGACUCGGGAUUGGUGAACGUUGCAUUUUCGACUUCAUCAGCACCGUAUGAGAAAUCAAAGUCUUUGGGUUCCGGGGGGAGUAUGAUCGCAAGGUUGAAACUUAAAGGAAUUGACGGAAGGGCACCACCAGGAGUGGAGCCUGCGGCUUAAUUUGACACAACACGGGAAAACUUACCAGGUCCAGACAUAGUGAGGAUUGACAGAUUGAAGAUCUUUCUUGAUUCUAUGGGUGGUGGUGCAUGGCCGUUCUUAGUUGGUGGAGCGAUUUGUCUGGUUAAUUCCGUUAACGAACGAGACCUCGACCUGCUAAAUAGUUCGGCGAAGGCGUCAGCCUUUGUACGUGACUUCUUAGAGGGACUAUCGGUGCUUUAGCCGAAGGAAGUUCGAGGCAAUAACAGGUCUGUGAUGCCCUUAGAUGUUCUGGGCUGCACGCGCGCUACACUGAUGGUUGCAUCGAGCUUACAACCUUGAUCGGAAGGUCUGGGUAAUCUUUUUAACGACCAUCGUGCUGGGGAUAGAUUAUUGUAAUUAUUAAUCUUCAACGAGGAAUUCCCAGUAAACGCAAGUCAUCAACUUGCAUUGAUUACGUCCCUGCCCUUUGUACACACCGCCCGUCGCUACUACCGAUUGAAUGGAUUAAUGAGCUGCAGGGAUUGACGCGCUUGUGGGCAACUGCUUGCGUGUCGAGAACUGCAACAAAUUUGUUCAUUUGGAGGAAGUAAAAGUCGU